rnacentral:rRNA from 1 species
UACGGAGGGUGCGAGCGUUGUCCGGAAUCACUGGGCGUAAAGGGCGCGUAGGUGGCCCGUUAAGUGGCUGGUGAAAUCCCGCGGCUCAACUGCGGGGCCGCCGGUCAGACUGGCGAGCUAGAGCACGGUAGGGGCGAGAUGGAAUUCCCGGUGUAGCGGUGGAAUGCGUAGAGAUCGGGAAGAAUACCAGUGGCGAAAGCGGCUUCCUGGACCAGCACCGACGUCAGGCACGAAAGCGUGGGGAGCAAACAGG